UUUAUAGAACUAAAGAAUAUCAAAACUGAGAAUGAAUACUCGUAUGUCCUAAAUACUGUAACUCGUGACUCAUUUUAACAGCAGGGUAGCAACUUGUUAAACAGUACAUGCAAUUGAAUUAGCAUUUACGAGACUACACCAAUGAAUAUAAUCAGUGUGAUAUUAUAGAUUACUUUUAAAUAAAAUUAAAUUAGUAAUAUGUUUUAAAUUCUUGUACUUCAUUUGCUGUUUUCACAUAUUAUGCAUAAUUAAAUACUGUUUUAGUUAUCUCUUUUUAUAAUCAAUUAUUCUUGCAUCAUUAUGAUACCGCGUGCUCUUGUACAGAUACACCAUGAGCAUUGUUUAGCAUCUUAAUAGCAGUCCUUGAACCGACAAGAGAGCUGUGCUUAUGAAAUUAUUGCAUCAUCCGAGCGAACAUUGUUAGUCAUGGGAAGACAAUUCAUUUGGCGCAUGGAAAUUCGAAGGCAUUCCCAGUAGAGGUACUCCUCUAACAUUCUACAGUUUUGACAUCCUGUCGCCAUGUUUCUCCAGGAAUCAAGAUGAGGGCUGCAACUGCAACUAUCUUCACCUCACGACUUUCUUCACCAGUUGAUGCUUUGACAGGAAACAGUGAUCGGAAAUAGCCAUGGUCCUGGAUGUCAUUAUCUGGUUUCGCUAUCUCAGGAAAGGGAUUUCAAAUUCUCACCAACUCUGCUGCAUAAAGCUAUUUAUUCAACGUCACGUUGCAGAAAAUCAGAAACGGAGCUGAGUUAUCAGCCUGCAUGUUCUGCUCCUACCAAACCUCCUUCCUUCCUGUGAAAUAAAGGAAUCCCCCUUUUAUGAUUCGCUGACAAC